CGGGAUGGAGUUCUUUUUGCGGACUUUUGUUUAGUUUUCAUUUUCACCGCUGCGGAGCAAAAAAGGAGGGAGGGAGACGCGUCUGUAUCGGAGCAUAGACUGCAGCAUGAUAGAAUAAACACAUUAGCCCGGUUCUACGAUCUCCCUGCUUUGGCAGAUCGUCAGCACGUUAAUAUCCUUCACGAUCUAAGAUCGUUUUAUCGCCCACCACUACAGGAAGCUUAAAAUGGUUUCUAAAAAGGCUUUGGCCAUCGAUGGCGUUAUCACCUUCGUGGUUGUCGUGGUUGUCCUCGUUCCAUCGGUACUGCUGAUUCCUGAAAAGUUCGAAGAUACGUUCAUGAGGAAGUGCUCGGAGUUUAAAGAGAAAAAAGAAAUCUGUAAAAACGCAUGGGUUAUCUUUGAAAAAGCCUAUGUAGGGAAGGACCCGAAAACUGUCACUCCUGACAAAUACAACGAUCUCUUUGAUAAGUUCCCCUUCAAGUAUCCAUGCGAAAAAUCACUGCUGUGGAGCAAAACACGUGAUUUGGUCAAGUUGGUUAAAAAAGGAAAAUGCUACGUCCCCAUUGUACACACUAUGUUGGGAUACGUGCUGGACGGUUUGAUCUGGUGUGGGAAGAAGAACAGCCCGGGUAAGUCAUUAAUCAUAGUGACGUUAAGACGUAGCCUUUAAAUCAGAAACAGUUCAGUGUAGUAUAGUAUAAUAUGUGACCUUUACAAAUGUGCUUUUGAAUCUAUUUGUGAUAAUUUUUUUUACAAGUUUAUAUUGUGUUGGUUUAUUUAUGUCUUCUGUAAAGCACAUUGAGUUUAAAUUUGUCUGAAAAGUGAGAUACAAAUGAACUUGAAUUGAAUUGAAUACAGAUAAAAAGACACUUUGUCAUUCCUGAUAUCUCUCACAGUCAGUUGUAUCUUUUUAAAGCCUAAACUCUGUAAACUAUCACACAAACACUUAUUGUCUUUUAUUCUAGAAACUCUUUCACUGAUUUCUCUCAGUGUACGAAGCCCAAAAUCAACCCUUCUAAUUCAUUUUGGACAACGGCCUCCAUCAGGAAAUACUUUGGCGCUUGGACUCUAUGGGUAGGGUGAUGUGUUUGGAGAAUGACAAUUCUGAGCAUCGACAGAAUAAAUCCCCCCCAUGGAGUCCAGACCCUGGUGGUGGUGAAGCUGAUGACUUGAUGAGACCGGAUGGGUGACGAAUUGAUGGAUGAUGAGUCUGUGAAGACUGGCGGGGAUGGAGAGGUGGAGGGGCGCUCGAAACAUCAGCAUGAAGGAACUAAUGCACAGAAAGAAUCAUAUUUAAAAGGGGAGCAGAACGAUGAUAGGUUGAAAAUCAGGGAGGAACGCCAUGUGAUUGGUUAGAUGAGUACUGCUGACGAGACAGCCGAUUACCCAUUGACAGCCCAAAAAUGACAGCUCGAGAGUGACAGCGGAAACAUGAUAUACACAACAUGCCUGUGGAGAAGUCAAAGUGCUGCUGAAUGGAGAUGAUGAUGUCCCAUACGAUAUUGACAGUUACUUGGCAGAAUCUGAGGUACCAUAUCUUGAUAAUACCAAAGUGACGAAACUGGAUGUUAUUAUGGCUGUUAAGACGAAAGGGAGACCGGGAUGCAACGACAAAUCCCUCAAGGAAUUAAAAAAGGAGCUGAAACAAAAACAAAUCGUUUACGAUUGCAAGGAAGUGUUCAGAUCCCAGGUGGAGAAAAUAUUAAAUACCUGCUGAUGGAGUCUGUAAAUGUCAAGAGUUACUUAAAAUGUGAUUUGACUGACUCAGUUGUGAUCGCACAAUAAAAAUAAUUUGAGCAAAAAUGAAA